CAGGCCUAACACAUGCAAGUCGAACGAACUCUUCGGAGUUAGUGGCGGACGGGUGAGUAACACGUGGGAACGUGCCUUUAGGUUCGGAAUAACUCAGGGAAACUUGUGCUAAUACCGAAUGUGCCCUUCGGGGGAAAGAUUUAUCGCCUUUAGAGCGGCCCGCGUCUGAUUAGCUAGUUGGUGAGGUAAAGGCUCACCAAGGCGACGAUCAGUAGCUGGUCUGAGAGGAUGAUCAGCCACAUUGGGACUGAGACACGGCCCAAACUCCUACGGGAGGCAGCAGUGGGGAAUCUUGCGCAAUGGGCGAAAGCCUGACGCAGCCAUGCCGCGUGAAUGAUGAAGGUCUUAGGAUUGUAAAAUUCUUUCACCGGGGACGAUAAUGACGGUACCCGGAGAAGAAGCCCCGGCUAACUUCGUGCCAGCAGCCGCGGUAAUACGAAGGGGGCUAGCGUUGCUCGGAAUUACUGGGCGUAAAGGGAGCGUAGGCGGACAUUUAAGUCAGGGGUGAAAUCCCGGGGCUCAACCUCGGAAUUGCCUUUGAUACUGGGUGUCUUGAGUAUGAGAGAGGUGUGUGGAACUC
rnacentral:rRNA from 1 species